AGAAUCACCUCAUUCGUUUUCGAGACGCUGUACGGUAUGCGUAUUACAGGUUACAGCGUACUUCAACAUUUUCCAUCGUGAAGAUAGAAAGUCCCACUCCCAGUGUGUCGUGAGUGUGUCAGAGUGUCCUGAAAGUGUCCUGAAAGUGCUGUGCGUAUGCUGAAAUGUCAUCUCGUACUAGAUAUUUUAAAGGAGAAUGAUAGCCUCGGAAUAAGCUGCUGUUGUCUCUGGUGAAUCUACAGUUACUUGCUUACCUUCUUCACCAUUUUUCGACAUGUGCUGGUUUGUCUUCUUCACAACACUCGCUCAUCAUCUAGCUUCAAUCACAGCUUCAAUGCUGCUAAUGUUGCUUCACAACUUAUCUUACUCCACUGACAAGUUAGACCUCUUCAGUCCACUGUAAAUCACCAUGGGAAAACGGCCAGGUACGAAAGCGGUGAAUUAACAGGUACGAAAGCCUACCAUGUAAACUUGUCAAUUCCAUGUGUUCAUCUGGGCAUGUGAUCUUGUAGAAUGCUGUACAUUUUCAAAAAAUGUCUCGUGCUGCAUGUUGGACGUUUCGUCACAUGCAGAAAUACUUCUGAACACGUUCACAUUUACACAGAUGAUGUUGCCAUCCAACUGACAAGUCAAACUAUGCUGGUGAAAGAUAAUCGUACAUCAGAUGGUUUUGUUGCAGCCAGCUGUUGAGAGGGUGGUUUGAGGUGACCUGCAGAUGCUGCAAGUAUUCACUCCCUGUGUCAUCCGGUGUCAUCUGACCAUGUGUCCUGAAAGUGCUGUCCGUAUGCUGAAAUGUCGUCUCGUACAACUGGAAACUUUAUUGGAAUGAUAAUGGAAUAAUUCAUUACAAUUUCAUUUUGUUCAACUACACUGAGAUGAGAAAAAUUACUUAAGAACACAAAGGGAUUAAAUUUUGUAAAACUUAAAAUACAAAUGACUUGUUAUUUCUGA